GAGUUUGAUCAUGGCUCAGAGUGAACGCUGGCGGCAUGGUUAAGACAUGCAAGUCGAACGAAAAGCAAAUCUUCGGAUUUGUGGAAAGUGGCGAACGGGUGCGUAACACGUGAGCAACCUGCCCUAAAGUGCGGAACAGCCUGUCGAAAGAUGGAUUAAUGCCGCAUGUGGCUCUUCUUCGCAUGAAGAAGUAGCUAAAGCUUGUAAUGGCGCUUUAGGAUGGGCUCGCGGCCUAUCAGCUUGUUGGUAAGGUAACGGCUUACCAAGGCUAAGACGGGUAGCUGGUCUGAGAGGAUGAUCAGCCACACCGGGACUGAGACACGGCCCGGACACCUACGGGUGGCAGCAGUUUCGAAUCAUUCACAAUGGGCGAAAGCCUGAUGAUGCAAUGCCGCGUGGAGGAUGAAGGCCUUAGGGUCGUAAACUCCUGUCAUUGGGGAGCAACAAAUAGGUUCAUAGCCUAUCAUGAGUUAACCCAAAGAGGAAGAGGUGGCUAACUCCGUGCCAGCAGCCGCGGUAAUACGGAGACCUCGAGCGUUACUCGGAUUCACUGGGCGUAAAGGGUGAGUAGGUGGCCAAGUAUGUCAGGUGUGAAAUCCCGGGGCUUAACCCCGGAACUGCGCCUGAAACUACUUGGCUAGAGUCUCGGAGAGGAUAGUGGAAUUCCAAGUGUAGCGGUGAAAUGCGUAGAUAUUUGGAGGAACACCAGCGGCGAAGGCGACUAUCUGGACGAGUACUGACGCUCAAUCACGAAAGCGUGGGGUAGCGAAAGGGAUUAGAUACCCCUGUAGUCCACGCCGUAAACGUUGCACACUAAGUUUCGGAGGAUUCGA
rnacentral:rRNA from 1 species